UGGCUCAGAGGUUAAGAGCACUUGACUGUUCUUCCAGAGGUCCUGAGUUCAAUUCUCAG
rnacentral:tRNA from 1 species